AGCGAACGCUGGCGGCAGGCUUAACACAUGCAAGUCGAGCGGACCUUUCGGGGUCAGCGGCGGACGGGUGAGUAACGCGUGGGGACGUGCCUUCCGGUUCGGAAUAACCCUGGGAAACUAGGGCUAAUACCGGAUACGCCCUUAUGGGGAAAGGUUUACUGCCGGAAGAUCGGCCCGCGUCUGAUUAGCUAGUUGGUGGGGUAACGGCCUACCAAGGCGACGAUCAGUAGCUGGUCUGAGAGGAUGAUCAGCCACACUGGGACUGAGACACGGCCCAGACUCCUACGGGAGGCAGCAGUGGGGAAUAUUGGACAAUGGGCGCAAGCCUGAUCCAGCCAUGCCGCGUGAGUGAUGAAGGCCUUAGGGUUGUAAAGCUCUUUUAUCCGGGACGAUAAUGACGGUACCGGAGGAAUAAGCCCCGGCUAACUUCGUG
rnacentral:rRNA from 1 species